GCGCAUUUGGCAGCUUUACUGACCAUAUUUAUGUUUUCCCUUUAUCGUUCCUUCCAUUACACUCAAUUACUUUGUCGUGUCUCUUUGGGCAGUCCAGAGAAGAAUGCAUCUGUACAAAGAUGCUGAAUCUCUGUACGACUGGAAUGCGGUGGAUGUGGAGAUUGACGGUCAGUUGCAUCACGGCCAUGUUAUCGGCCUCGAAGGGAACGGCAGCGCUGAACCGCGUCUGGUCGUCGAUUUCGGAUUUCCCACACAGCAGGCGGUGCUUGUUCCAUAUGGAACGGUCUGGGACAGCUCAACCGAGAUAUCAUACAGCGCGCGCAUGGGAGACGCUGUGGAAGUGCUGCUGCGCGGCGGCCGGGAUCGUCCUUGGAAGUGGCAUCCCGGAAAAAUGUUGAUUUCACCAUGUCCUGGUUCCGUCACAUAAAUGAUGAUAUGUACCUCGGGAAGGUGAUGAUGGACGGACGGUGUCGUCGAGAACUGCUUCCGAGCCGACAGAUACGGAAUUUCACGGAUGACGCCAGCAGGCCAGGACUUCUUGCCUUGGGCCAUUUUGUCGCCAGGACAUGCCGUGUGCCGAAUGGUUACUGGAUUCUAGAGCCGUCCGUAUCGGCGUUGCUGCUCCGAAAAGUUGAGUGAUAUCUAGGGCUGCGAUUCGUCAAAGUGCUGAGUAUGGAGAUGCACUGUGUGCGACAGAGCAAACGAUCCGAUCACGCACUGAGGAAGCUGAGUAUAUUGGGAUUGUGUUCGAAAGAGAGAGAAACGAGUGGGAAUUUCUCCACGAAAUAUCGAAAACGGAGAUUGAUGGUUGUGAGCCGAAGCGGAAGCAGCCGCCGAGUGUUGCACUGUGGAAUGCCAUUCUCACAUCGGCGGAGAUGUGCAGCGAGGUGCGUGUAUCGCGGCAACCGAUCAUUAGUGACCCGGAUGAUAGGCCAGGCAUAGCAGAUCCUCUGCAGCGAAAGGAGAUCGUAAUUAUUUGAUGUACGCUUGCCUUCUCAAGCUUAUCUCACCCGCAACCCGCACCUUAUGCAUUAGCGACACCAAACCAGACUACCGUAGCCGUUGGGUCGUGCAGGUAGCCGAUGGAACCGUGGACGUUAUCCAUGAGAUCUUGCACGAUGCCAUGGCCUCCGUAUCGAGCGUUUCAUCAUGAACCGGCGAUCGGUUAGGAUUGCACAGGCAGCAUAUCAGCCCAGGUUAACCUACUGACCGCUGAGAUCACCGCGCAUCUGCCGAAGCUCAUGUCUGUUUGUGAUCGUGUGAUUUGGAAGAACUAUGUCCUGAUUUUGUUAGACAAGAAGCGCUCGCCCUUGCUGAAUCUCCGCAUUCCUGUUGAAGUCUUCACCACGGGACCUGUCGAUGAGGCGCACAUUGUGGACCUGUUCGAGCAGAAUCUACCCUGCGAAGGUCAGCCGUUGGACAUGGAGCGCAUUUCCCACUGCCUGGCUAACAGGAUCGGCUACAGAGAGGACGCCAGGAAACUGAGAACAUUCUGCGGGACUACCAAACCUGUGAUCCGAGACCGUCGGCGCAGUAUCGCCAGCACAGAUGGACGCUGUAUAAUGUGGCCAGCGUGGAUGUUACCAAGCUGAACCGAUUGUCUGUGCGCCUUAUGGCAUUAUGUGCAGGACCGGUGGCCAGCAUACCCGGAUACUGACGCACAGGAUGUGCAAUUUCCGGAGUCCAGUGGUGAAUCCAGCGAGGCCAGCAGCUCCGCGUCCAAGUACGGCGAAUUCGAGGAUGGCGACUAAUGGGGAGGAUGCCGAAGAAUAAGAAGUAUACCAUUUAGACGUUCUUCGCAUUCCGGACAGUUCGCGUACCGGAUACCAGAGACACGGUAAUCUCUGCGUUGUUUCACAUUAAAAAACUUGAUAAUUUUUUUUUAAUUUCGUGUACAGCUUGGAUAAAAACAAAA